CAUCACUGUCUCUCUAUAUAUAGUAUUCACAGUCACUAACAAUUUCUGAUCUAGGGUUCUUUAGCUUUCUUCAUCCUUGGCCGAAAGUUCAAGUCCUUCUGUUCCUUCUCCUCUCUGCCUUCUCCAAAUCAGGAAAAAUGCAAGGGGCCGUUAAUGCAUUUUUGUCCCAUGGAAAUUUGGUAAAAAAUUUGGUUCUACAACGCUUCCGCGUUGCAAAUCCAGCACUAAGGCCUAUUUUGUUUUCUCGUUUUGAGUCUGUCUCAUCUGCCCGUACGGAAGAGCAAAGCUUUGAAAGUACUACCAUUUCUGACAUCUUGAAAGCCAAAGGGAAAGGUGCUGAUGGCUCUUGGCUUUGGUGCACCACUGAUGACACUGUUUAUGAUGCUGUCAAGUCGAUGACGCAUCACAAUGUUGGAGCCUUGGUGGUCGUUAAACCUGGAGAGCAGAAAUCAAUUGCAGGAAUUAUUACGGAAAGAGAUUACCUGAG
rnacentral:misc_RNA from 1 species